rnacentral:rRNA from 1 species
UAACCUGCUAAAUAGUUACGUGAUUCUCGAAUCACGGACAACUUCUUAGAGGGACUAUCGGUGUUUAACCGAUGGAAGUUUGAGGCAAUAACAGGUCUGUGAUGCCCUUAGAUGUUCUGGGCCGCACGCGCGCUACACUGACGAAGGCAGCAAGUUUACCCCUUGGCCGGAAGGCCUGUUGCGUAAUCUUUGAAACUUCGUCGUGCUGGGGAUAGAUCUUUGCAAUUAUCGAUCUUAAACGAGGAAUUCCUAGUAAGCGUGAGUCAUCAGCUCACGUUGAUUACGUCCCUGCCCUUUGUACACACCGCCCGUCGCU